CUUCGCGCGCAGCAACAACUGGGCGGCAGCUCAGCCGCGCGCACUCCGCUCGUCCGCGGCCGACUCCUUAGUGCAUGCCUGCCACGCGCUUCGGCCGUGCGUAGAGAACCUGCUUCCGGGGUGGUUCAGCAAAGCUUGACGAUCACCACCGUGCGUUGAGAGCCCGUUGCCGGUAGGACUCAGCAGGGUGUAUUCUUCUUGAACCUCAACACCAAGGGCCGGUCAGUUGUUGUCACCUGGUAUGUGACUGGAUCACUUUGGUCUGCGGGCUUCAGUCUCGUCCAGUGGAUCCAGGACCGUCCUCCUAAGAUCUUAAAAGCACAAUUACAAAACCAAUACAUCUGGGAGAGCGCGCAAAGGGAUCUGAGCAGUUGUAGUCCUCUUCAGUUGGGAAACAGCAUAGGCAACCUACUCAAUCCUAAGAAAGAAAAAAAUACAAAAAUAGUCCAGAUGAUGAAGAACGCUAUUCCCACUGGUUACUGCCCACCAGUCCCUUGGAUCCUUUGGAUCAUCAACUUCAAUGUAUCUCCUUGGUGAGAUUCCACCUUCCACUCCUCUGGCACGGGCCCGUUCACUUGGGGUUUAACUUCCUUCCAGCAGCAUCCAAUCAUCGUGGUGGAAUUUAUGGACUGGAAACUUCAAAGGUGGUGUUUGGGCUAAUAGUCCUUGUUUCCUAAAAACUUUAAAAUAUCUGGACAGUUUAUACACAUAUUGUUUCAAUACUUUGUCUCUGGUUUCCAGGAAAUUAAUGCAUAUGCUUCUUGUAGUGAAAACUACUCCAAACAACAGUUCAUAUGAUGAUAAUCUUUCUAGGUUGGGUAUAAUAAAACUCUUGACACCA